GUUAACUUCGGGCCAGCGUCCGUGGGAAUGUGAAGGGGGCUAGCAUUGUUCGUAAUUAGUUGGCCGAAAGCGCACGGAUGCGGACAUGUAAGGCAGGGGUGAAAUCCCGGUGCUCAACCGCGGAACUGCCUUUGAUACGGGGUGUCGUGAGUGUGGAAGAGGUGAGUGGAAUUCCGAGUGUAGAGGUGAAAUUCGUAGAUAUUCGGAGGAACACCAGUGGCGAAGGCGGAUCACUGGUCCAUUACUGACGCUGAGGUGCGAAAGCGUGGGGAGCAAACAGGAUUAGAUACCCUAGUAGUC
rnacentral:rRNA from 1 species